rnacentral:tRNA from 1 species
UGCGGGGUGGAGCAGCUCGGUAGCUCGUCGGGCUCAUAACCCGAAGGUCGUUGGUUCAAAUCCAGCCCCCGCUACCA